UUCGUGGAGCCGGGGUGCCCUGACGGAGGGGCUGAGAACACACCCGCAGUACCUGAUCUAGGUUGUGCUAGCGAAGGGAGCCAUCAUGACCGUUUC
rnacentral:ncRNA from 1 species